AGGAAGAAGAUUGGAACUGCAGGGAAUACAUUGAGCAUUCACAUCCAGGCCUCUGCAGUCAAGUUCUUGGUUGAAAGGGUCGUGUAGGUGCGUCUGGCCAGCCCUGCAUUCAAGAGGUGCAACACCUCCGUAGAGGAGAGAUGAAGAUGCAGAGAAGAUGAAACAUCCCACAGGGAUCAUUGUGCUGAGGGAUUACGAGGGGCAGGAAGACGCUGACUGUUUUCCUCCUUCGUCCCUCUGCGAGGAAAAUCCUGGAGUAAAGCACCUGAGUGCUAAAGAAGACGUUUACCUGUAUGGAUCUGCUGGAUUAUUACCUGAGUGACACCUGGGCAGACUGCACGGGAUUAUUUCAGAUUAGUUGCUGUUACCUGAUGUUUCCUCCUGCGCUGCAGAGAAUGAUGAUGAGCCAGAGGAUGAGGCUUCAUGUAAUCGUGUGCCAUCCGUCAAACAGCAAGAUGACAGCAUCACAAUACACAGCCUGUGGAGGGGAGGG
rnacentral:lncRNA from 1 species